AUGUGCCCACCGCUGGGCUGCCUGCAGCGUUACCCCGGCAGCCAAGGUGGGGCGGCCACCGGAGGUCUGCCCGCCGCGAACGAGAGCAUUGCACGCACACGCGCACGCACACGCACACGGCCGAAUGCGAGCGACCUUUGGAAAGGAGGAGAGCCCGCACCGGGGGACAACACGGUUCAACUGAGGACACGGUGUGAGGCCAAACAAACCAGAGCACCAGGUGAUUCCACCUACGGGUGGAAUCCCUGCCAGCAGAGCACAGAGCCCUGGGGCGGCGGAGGGGGACGGUACCCACAGGUGGCGCAGUCCCCGGUACGGGCCAGGAGGCCCCGGGCUCUGCCUACCGACCGUGCGGUGGCCGUGUGUCCCGCUCCGACGUCGAGCGCCAUCAGGGAAGGCAGCACGGGGCUCUCGGGCCACAGGCCAAGCACGUCUCAGGCCGAGCAGACGGGGCGGUGUGUCCAGGCCCCGAGUCUUGUCCGCGUGGCCACGCCAUCAGCAGCCGGCGGGUCGUCAACGGAUGGAAGGCUGCUCAGCACCCGAGGCGCACAGGUGCCAGGGUUUGCUUCAAGCUCCCGCCAAGAGGACUGGGGAAUAUCGCGUGUCCUUCACGUCCCAGCACCGAGGACGCCCUCAAAGCAGAAGACGACCCGGGAAGAACCUGGAUUUACAUCCUGUUUUACAGCUGAGGAGACCAACGUGAGGUGAGGUUGUGUCUAAAGUCACACAGCGGGUCAGCGGCGUAACCAGGACAGGAAGCCGGUGUCCCCGCCCUCCAGUCCCGCGAGGGCCCGAAGCCGCUGCCACCGCCUGGUCCCGACACCAGUGUCCGUAAAUGAUGAUUUUGCUGAACGGGAUUAGGGGCUCCCGAAUUCCAGGAAGAGAGAGUAUUAUUACGAGGCCACUGGGAGUUCUCAAAAGUGGCUGUCGCGUUCUUCCGGAGAAGCCCCGCCCUUACGUUUUGACCGUUCAUGACUGUUUUGUGGCUUCAGACAAAGUAGGUGCAUUGAGCUUUGUCUCAAAGGCUGGACCCCAGUGCGGCCCACCGGAGCCGGGGGUGGAAACGGCCGGGCCAGAAGGUCCCACGCUGCUCACGGGCCGUGGGCAAGCUCCCCAAGAAAGAGCCUUCCCCAAGCUGGGGGGCUCGGGCAGGCCGUGUGUCACCCUCUCCAGACCCGACGACAGCACAGAGAAGGCUCAGACGGGUUCUGGAGCCAAGCGACAGGCCAGUGGGCCUCGCCCUGCGCACCCCGACUUGGAGACGCUGGAGCUGUUCCUUCCCUCCGGCAGCCCCUGCUCCUCGGUGGGCAGAGAUGAACGCUGACGGGCGGAUGGAGUGCGGGACACAAGCCAGGGGGUAGCCUCGUCCACAGACGCGCCCCUCGCGUGCGACCCCAGGACCGUGCUGGCGAACCUCGGGACGCGGCAUACGGCGCAGGCUCCUGGGCCUCACUCCCGACGUCCUGGGGCAGCGAUCGUGUCCCGGCAGCGCCCCCACCACGUCCCAGGGCUUGCCCAGACGGAAGAGGGGGAGCCCGAUGCGCCGGGCCUCUUCUGCAGGGAAUCACCCGUCUCCACAGUCAAAUGGUAAAUAACAAACACGGAGGCCGAGCCUCCUCUUCGUCAGCUCCGUGCUGCCCAGGAAAGCAUAAAAUCACACAACCUUCCAGGGGAUAACUGACCAAUAGACUAAGAAACCUUCAAACGGAGACGCAGAAAUCUCACUCUUGUCAUUUAGACAUCCCAGCCCAUCGGAAGUGUCCGGCAGCAGAGCCCUGGCUGGGCGCACACACAGGGGCGUGCGGCUGCAGACACGGUCCCCCCAGCCAGCACCCCAGACCCGUGCAGGCCCGGGGGGGCUUGGGGGCCGCUCCCGCCGCUUACCAGCAGGGGCCGUGGGUGCCCACGUCCCUCAUUUGGGGCAACCCAGAGCUGAGGGAGAUCGGCUCUCCAGGAACGCCGCGGAACCUGCACCAGGGUCUUCGGACAGGAGCAGGUAGGCGUCCACACCAGCUUCAGGUGAGAACGUAAGCUACGGAGCGGUGCACGUAUGUGGCGUAACUCCGUCACCAAGAACAGAAAAACCCGCCCAAGAAAACCUCCAAGAAUGAUUUUACGAACAUGCAAGUCGCAGGGAACGCAGAGACACUACGGAUAGCCUUACUUGGCUGUUAUUAUGGUUCUCGGUAUUUCGGGUCAGUGCAGCGGCAUAUUUUUAACAGCCCGAUUGUGACGUAAUAACAUGCAACAAAUUAACAUGCAUUUAAAAGAGUAAAUAAUAAAGCUAUG
rnacentral:lncRNA from 12 species